rnacentral:rRNA from 1 species
AGCAGCCGCGGUAAUUCCAGCUCCAAUAGCGUAUAUUAAAGUUGUUGCAGUUAAAAAGCUCGUAGUUGAAUUUCGGGAUCAAUUUAUUGGUCGUGCUAUUGUACGUACUGGUAUUAUUGAUUCCUACCUUCUGACGAACCAUGAUGUCAUUAAUUUGGUGUCAUGGGGAAUCAGGACUGUUACUUUGAAAAAAUUAGAGUGUUUAAAGCAGGCUCACGCUUGAAUACAUUAGCAUGGAAUAACGAAAUAGGACGUUUGAUUCUAUUUUGUUGGUUUCUAGGAUCGACGUAAUGAUUAAUAGGGAUAGUUGGGGGCAUUAGUAUUCAAUUGUCAGAGGUGAAAUUCUUGGAUUUAUUGAAGACUAACUACUGCGAAAGCAUUUGCCAAGGAUGUUUUCAUUAAUCAAGAACGAAAGUUAGGGGAUCGAAGACGAUCAGAUACCGUCGUAGUCUUAACCAUAAACUAUGCCGACUAGGGAUCGGAUGAUGUUAAUUUUUAAUGACUCAUUCGGCGCCUUACG